rnacentral:rRNA from 1 species
AAAAACAUGUNUUUUUGAAAAUAAUUUAAAGUNUAAUNUGCCCNNUGAUAAAAAUUAAAGGGNUGCAGUAUUUUGACUGUACAAAGGUAGCAUAAUCAUUAGUNUNUUAAUUGGUGACUUGUAUGAAAGAUUGGAUGAGAUAUAAACUGUNUUAUUUUUNUUAUAUAGAAUUUAAUUUUUUAAUUAAAAAGUUAAAAUAAAUUUAAAAGACGAGAAGACCCUAUAGAGUUUUAUAUAUUAAAAUAAUUGAAAAAAAUUUUUUUAUAAAUAUAUUAUUAAAUUNUUUUUUAUAUUUUAUUGGGGUGAUAGAAAAAUAAAAAUAACUUUUUUUUAUAUAUAUAUAUAUAUAUAUAAACAUUAAUAAAUGAGUAAAUGAUCCAUAAUUUAUGAUUAUAAGAUUAAAUUACCUUAGGGAUAACAGCGUAAUUUUUUUUUUUAGUUCAAAUAAGAAAAAAAGUUUGCGACCUCGAUGUUGGAUUAAGAUAAAAUUUAAAUGCAAAA